rnacentral:rRNA from 1 species
GAUCAUGGCUCAGGAUGAACGCUGGCGGCGUGCCUAACACAUGCAAGUCGAACGAAGAGGCGGCAUCAGAAUCCUUCGGGAGGAAGAAGCCGUUUACUGAGUGGCGGACGGGUGAGUAACGCGUGGGCAACCUGCCCACGUACAGGGGACGAACAGUUGGAACGACUGCUAAUACCGCAUAAGCCUGUAAUGCCGCAUGGCAUAUCAGGAAAAGGACUCCGGUGGUACUGGAUGGGCCCGCG